rnacentral:rRNA from 1 species
CCUACUUGUGUCAUCAGUUGUUCAUAUUUCUCAAUGUACGCAAUUCUGACACAGCAACGCCGCGUGAAGGAAGAAGGCUUUCGGGUUGUAAACUUCUUUUAAGGGGGAAGAGCAGAAGACGGUACCCCUUGAAUAAGCCACGGCUAACUACGUGCCAGCAGCCGCGGUAAUACGUAGGUGGCAAGCGUUGUCCGGAUUUACUGGGUGUAAAGGGCGUGCAGCCGGGAAGACAAGUCAGAUGUGAAAUCCCGCGGCUCAACCGCGGAACUGCAUUUGAAACUGUUUUUCUUGAGUAUCGGAGAGGUAAUCGGAAUUCCUAGUGUAGCGGUGAAAUGCGUAGAUAUUAGGAAGAACACCAGUGGCGAAGGCGGAUUACUGGACGACAACUGACGGUGAGGCGCGAAAGCGUGGGGAGCAAACAGGAUUAGAUACCCCGGUAGUC